rnacentral:rRNA from 1 species
UACGAAGGGAGCUAGCGUUGUUCGGAAUCACUGGGCGUAAAGCGCACGUAGGCGGACGUGUCAGUCAGGGGUGAAAUCCCGGAGCUCAACUUCGGAACUGCCUUUGAUACAGCACGUCUUGAGUCCGGAAGAGGUGGGUGGAAUUCCUAGUGUAGAGGUGAAAUUCGUAGAUAUUAGGAAGAACACCGGUGGCGAAGGCGGCCCACUGGUCCGGUACUGACGCUGAGGUGCGAAGCGUGG